rnacentral:rRNA from 1 species
AGGACGAACGCUGGCGGCGUGCUUAACACAUGCAAGUCGAGCGGAAAGGCCCUUCGGGGUACUCGAGCGGCGAACGGGUGAGUAACACGUGAGCAAUCUGCCCUUAGCUUCGGGAUAGCUCCGGGAAACCGGAAUUAAUACCGAAUACGACUACGGCCGACAUCGGCUGUGGUGGAAAGUUUUUCGGCUAGGGAUGAGCUCGCGGCCUAUCAGCUUGUUGGUGAGGUAACGGCUCACCAAGGCGACGACGGGU